GCCUCAUUGGUGCAGUUAGGCAGCGCGUCAGUCUCUUAAUCUGAAGGUCAUGAGUUCGAGCCUCACACGGGGCA